CGCGUCCUGGUUUAACCGAUAUUCUCAUCAAACGAGUGUUCCGUUUCUGUGGUAGAUUCUAAGGGAAAAUGUUUUGUGAAAAAUAAGCAUAGAGUGACGUCACUUAGUGGCCGCGUAAACUCUCGUACUGCUGCUGCAUGUGACUGGAGAGAGUCAGGAGCAGGCUCAUUAAAAGUGAUUGCAAGCGGUCUUAAAAACUUGUUGAAUUGUGUAGGAGCACAACUCCAACAGCCCUUCCUCUCGGCCAAGGCUUAUGGGAACAGGUUCUAGUGGACCUGCUGGUUUCAUACAUACAUACAGGGAACAAUGCAACCUCUGGAACAUCAAGUGGAUGUCCUGGAAUAAAUACAGGGGCAAAUAAGCCAGUGUCAACAGUGAAAUGCAAAGAAUGUACAGAAAAACUUCAACAACUGGUUAACUUCUGGAUUGGAUGGAAGCUUUCCUCAGCUGGCCUGAAAGUUAAAGUGGUCCGUGCUGAUCAACAUGUUUAUAAAUGCUCAGAUUGCCCCCGUUCACUACAGAACAUUUCAAGAGUUUUCUAUGGACCUGGAGGCCUGAUUUGCAACAUGUGACGCUGGGUUUAUCUAUAGGGGACAAUCUGUGCCAAAUAAAUUGGCUUAAUGCUGUGUACACACCAAACGUGAAGCACAUAUUUACAUCAUGUUCCUCGCUCUAGAUUACUCACAGGAUUAAACUUUUUUAUCAUAUUUUUAAUAUUGACUGAGAUCAUGUCAAAGAUUGAAAUCAAAUAUGUUAUUGUACAAUUAACAUAAGCCUACCUGAAAAGUUACAUUUGGGCUUUAGGGAAACGUAUACAAACAGAAUGGAUGCUUUUAAAUAACAACAGCAAUGCAAAAUACAAUAUUUUAUUUACCAAAAUCAACAAUGCA